GCAGCGGGUGUGAGAAGAGGCCACCACCAGUCACUCACAACUCAUCGUGCGGGGAGGUACUGCCACUGCUCGCUCCGCCACCUGACCCACCUGCUCUACCCUCUCGCUCACGCCUCCCAUCCAUACCUCCCCCUAUGGAGUUCUAAAUUACUUUACCUACGCCACUGAGACAAGUGUGAGAGACUGAAUCGUCAGAACAUAUAUUUUCUGUGAGAACGACCCUUUUUGUGCAUGAAAACACUAUGGAUAUAAUAGAUAGUACGCUGGCGGACUUUGCCGAGAAUGAUCUGAAGGAACUGUGGGACUCUGACUACUAUGCGGAGGCGGUGAAGGCGGCGGGCAUGAUCCCCUGGAGUAACAAGGAGGCGCUGAAGGCGGCCAGCGAGCUGGACUGGGCGGGAGUGCUGGAGAACAGCGGGAUGGGCGGCGCUGCAGGAGUGGUGCUCAACGACCGCCUGAUGACCGAGGCCUCCCUCGGGGUCAUCUCCCAGCUCAGCUCCCUGGGGUCUCUGGGGCCUCUCAGCACCAUCCUCGCCGUCCACCACCACGACACGCCCGCCGUCAAGGUGGAGCACUCCUACAGUCUUGUCGCCGACCGUGUCGACCCCGCAUCUCCGCUCUCAGAUUUGGAGAGUGAAUGUUUCCCCGCUAUCCCGAUCUCCGAGGCAGAGGGUGUGGUCGCCCUGUCCUCCACCUCCACAACCACCACCACCACCACAACCACCACCACCAGCACUACCAACACCCUCCUCACUCCCUCCGCCGCCAAGUCUCCCACCAUCAACACCGCUGAUAAAGAUGGCGGCGAGAAAAUCCCGUCCAACAGCUUCAUCAUCACGUCAACCCCGGGGAACUUAUCGACGUCGAGCAGUGCCUUCCGUAAAGCACUUGGGGCGCCGCCCCUGUCCCCGCUACUGUCACCCUCGCCGGAGGGCACUGGGGGGGACGCCGCUCCUCCAACUGGGGACCCCUGUUCCUCCACGCUCCUCAGUAUGCCUUCUAUUAGGACGAGCAUGGGCCUGCUGCGGCCCAGCAGCGUGGUGGUGACCCAGAGGUGCGGCCCGGGGGCGCCAGCGCCGUCAGUCUCGCGCCUGGGGCUAGGCUCCCUCACCCUCAGGCUGCCCGCACCCUCCACCACCACCCCCGCCGCCACCUCCCCCUCCGCUGAUGCAGGAUUUUCUAUGCCACCUACUCCACCUUCUUGCUCAAGUAGCGACAGUGAGUGCGGGAGUCAGUCGCCAACGCGCACGCCUCCGCUCUACGAGACACUCACACCGCAGUUCUGCAACCCACGUAAAAACACGUCAAGAAUUAUGGUUUCAUCUCGGCAUCCCAUUAAUACUCCCCUAAUUUCCACCCAACCUAAAGGUGCGACAGGAGCCUUAAACUUGACAGAAGAGGAGAAGCGCACGCUCCUCUCUGAAGGCUACAGCAUCCCUAACAGACUCCCUCUUACGAAGGCUGAAGAAAAGUCCUUAAAGAAAAUAAGGAGAAAGAUAAAAAAUAAGAUAUCUGCUCAAGAAUCUCGCCGGAAGAAGAAGGAUUACAUGGAUGCCUUAGAACGUAAAGUAGAAAAGCUGAGUAGUGAAAAUAUUGAUUGCAAGCGUCGUAUAGAAGUUUUACAGAAUUCCAAUUCCCAAUUGAUGUUGGAGUUGCAACGCCUUCAGAAUAUGGUGGAACAGGAAGAAAAGUACCGGAUCAGAUCAUCACCCAUAGCGACUCUACUUGCCUAAAGUAGUUAGUACUGUAUUUUCAGGGUUGCUUAAUGUAUGGGAAGAUGAAGACUUCUAAUAUAUUAUAGAAAAAUCCCUCCAGAUAAUUCACUUCAUGGUUUGUAAUUGGUUCAUCAUUCAUCUCCAUAUUCAUCUAUUUCAUUGGAAGAUUUUACAGAAGUAAAAAAAUCUUUUACUGUUCUUUCAUAAUGAGUGCCUUUUUCCUGGUCCCAAGUGGCAUUAUUACCAGAGUAAGAAUAUAAACACAGUAUCAGGUCAUCUCGGUGCAUUCCACAAUGACGAAAGUUUACGUUUAUUGUUGUGGUUGUAUGAUGUUGAAUAAUUUAGUUUGGGAGCCUGAUCAAUGUAAAUAAUUUAUAAAAAAUAAUUUAUACAAAAAUAUUUUAAUAGUACUGUAUACACAAGUUUGAUAUUGCAGAAUUUUAGAUUGUUGAUGAGUUUUAAGAGUUUAAUAUAAAUGGUUGAGUGCUGUUGAGAGGUCAUUUAAGACACUCUUUUUGAUGAUUACAAUAUUGAAUUGUAUAACCGAAUGCUGCAUAGUUCACUCUUUCCAAAUAUUGUUAGUUCCUGAUGGUAAGGUUCAUAUCACUAAUACAUGUACUACAAAUUUGUCUAUUUGAGCAAUUUUCCACUCCAUCAAAAUCAAGAACAUAAACAUAAAAGAGAUUGUAUAAUUAAUAAGUAUGAGAUACUUUUCUUUUAAGGAAUCAUAGGUUUGGAAUUCAGAGUACAAAAUUAGUUUCUGUAUGAAAUAAGUGUAAGUAGUUAUUGUUGAGAAUACUGUAUGGAUACAGUUACCAGCUUCAGAAAGUACUGUAUAGUUUCUGAGAAAGAAACAACAAGGCAAAUGAAUGCAUGCAAGAGAUGAGGUAAUGAGUAUUAAAAAAAAAAUCAAGCUAGUAUGAGUUAAGAUGUAAUGAAGAAGUGUUCAGAAUUUGGAUGCUUUCCAAAUCUUAGUGAUGUUCAGUGGACAAACAUAUCUUGUAUGUUCAUAUAUUUGUCUAUACAAAAUAAAUACUGUACUGUAUAAAUGUUAGAGAAAGAUGGAGAUGGUUGUCUCUUCAUUACCAUCAGAAGCUACAACAUAACUGUGCUUGUUUUGGGUUCUCACUGCACAAAAUUACUUAAGUAUUUCCUACAUGCAUAGGUAGCAUUAUAUACUGUAGAUUAAGUACAUUAUUUUGAAACUAGUGUAUCAUCAAAACCCAGUGAGAUGAAGUCAUGUUAUUCUGUGGAGUUUUUGCUGCCUAAUGUUUAUACCUUUUAAAGAGUACACACAUUCUGACUAGUUGUUCUGAACCAUUUGUCUGCUCAUUUGUACAAUAAGUUAUGUUUAGGUAUAUUAAGCUUAUGGUUAAGAGUGUUGAAUAUAAGAAUAUUCAAGACAACCAUAUUCCUUAGUGCUAAGACUGAAGGUCAACUUUCAAAUUACAGUACUGUACUAUACUGUAUCGUACCGUACCGUACUGUACUGUACUUCAAUAUUUAUGAAACCAACACGUUCGGAUUUUUGUAUCCAAAUUUUUAGAAUUCGGUUCUCUAUAUUAAGCAGAAAUUAAAUUGAAGAGUAUGUCAAGGAAGUGGUUUGGUAAUAUAUAUUUAGCUUAGUUUAACUCGCUCACAUUCCAUUACCACGUUAUGUAGCAUUUACCGGUACUCACAAUUCAUAGAUUUCUUUUAAUUAUGUGCACUUAAAUGUUUAAAUUACAUGCUAGACAGCUGGGGAGCAUAAGGCAGAAAUUAAUUUCACUUCAAGUGCCAGGUAGUUAGUACUUUACAAGCAAAAUGUGUUUAAAUAAAACUGCUCAAAGAGUGCAAGUGCAUUAAAAACGUACGUUCAUGUUUAUAUGCAAACAAAACGUAUAAGAAUAAAGAGCUGUUCAAGUGUAAUUUGUUUAUAUAUUUCAAGACUGGCUGACUUAUAGUUUGGUAGGCAAAAAUUAUCUUUCAGUAUCACUAUGGUACAGUAAUUAAAACUUAUGCAUUCCAAUUUUUAUGUUUACUAUACAGCAAAAAUAAAAUGAAUAUAAACAGCUGAACAAUCAAAAUGCUUAUGACCAAUCAUGUUCAGUGUUCAAUUCUCUAUGCACUGCUCAUGUUCAGAGAAACUGGGAAGAGUAUGUUGUUGGGGAGGUAUGUUGGGAACACGAUGAUGAUAAGCCCCAGAAGUGUAUAAUAUGCCACAAUUUCAGGGAUUUAGCUUAAGGAAAUUGGAUUUGUCUCUGAUUAUUUUUGUUGAUGUAGAGUUCUGAAGGGUGCCAUUACAGGGAUUAGUUCAUUAUUUUAUGAAGUGUUAGUUGUUAUGACUUUAGUUGUUCAGAGCAAUGAGAAAUUCUAUGGCAUGUAUGCAGAGGCAAGGUAAAAUAUUUUAAUAUUAAUUUGAUUUAGUUCAUGUGUGUGUUUUAUUGCUGUAUUGAAGUAUGAACAUUAAUUUAAUUCUCAGUCUAUGUACUGUGGGUAAUAUAGUUAUUUAAAUGGGUUGCAUUAACCUUUCUCAAAGACCAACAAAUUAUAAUCUAUUUAAGAUAGUACUGAUUUUAUUAUAAUUACUGUAUGAGUAUUUUUAUACUGUACUGUAAGUAAUUUAUUCAUUACUAUAUUAAACAAAUAAUUACACGAAAGGCCCAGAUUUGUGCAAUAUUCUUCGUUAAGUAUAUAAUAACUGUCCUUAUACUGUACAGUACCUUCAAUCCUAAAUAAGCAAAUUCCUGUACAUCACUAGCAUUACAGUACUUAGUUAACAUCAGAGGCUAUUAGUACAAUAUUAUAAGUGAUUUAUCAUUGAUAAUUAUAUAUAAUUUUGUUGAAUAUUCUCAUAAUCACCACAUUUCAUCUUGGACAAGGGAAUCAAGAUGAUCAUUUAAGUAUUAUGCUUUCAUGAUCAUGUAUGCUUCCAUCCAGUGUAACACUUUAAAUCUUGAAAUUUUCAACAUACACAAUAUUUGAUUAUUUCUUCUUGGUUGUUGAGUCUGCACAGUCAAGUCGAGCAUGUAACCGUUGCUUGUAAUAAGAUGUGCAAACGUGUGAAACAAACAUGUGAUGUGCAAAGCGGUAACAAACACGAGGUAAAUGAAUGAAGUGUUUUUCUUUAUUUUUCAUCAUACAUUAUUAAAGAAUAGUGCCAAGUUUGAAAGUUCAUAUUGGACUGUCAAUAGUAAGCUUCAAAAUAAGUCUUAACAUAAAUGACACUUUUUUGCAUGUUUCAUAGCAGUGCUUCCAUGGGCACAUAAUUUACUACCUAUGCUACUCUGUUGCAUUGCAUGAUUUGGCCCAAGGAUUUAAGUGUACACAUCUUGCCAGAACCUCUAGAAACUGCCUCCUUAAGAUCCAUUGGCAGACAAUGAAAUAUCAAAUGUUAUGUACAAGACCACCAUUGAUUGGUGAGCAAAUAUUUUUAUAAAAAAUAAAAUUGAGGCAGGUAGCUAGAAAUUCUCCAGUGAUUUCUAGAAUUAUGCAUGAUUUUCAUUACAAUGUUUAUUGUUUUCAUUGAUGGAGAUAUCUUUAAAUCAUGUUUCUGCAUAUCUGAUGUUUAUGUAGUUCUCUUUACUGUAUGGUUUGGAUAGGUCAAGAUAGGGUGUAAAAUUUCUUGUGUAGUGUAUAGAAUGCCUUCAUUCUAAUUAGUCAUGUAUAAAUGUACAAAGUAAAUAUUUAUAAGGUUGUAUUCUGAUUAAACUUAAGACAGUCUUAUUCUCAACUGUUAAGACUUAGUGGACCAAUCAUAUUCAACACAUUUAGAAAACAUUUGUAUUACUGUAUUUAGAAGUGUUUUCAAUGUGAUUGUCUUAAAAGCUGCUGCUAUGCCUGAUUUUCAUUGCUUUAGAGUUACUGUAUAUGAUGUACUCCUGAGAUGUCAUAUGGAUGAACUGAUUAUUUCUCACGUUUUUUAACAGUAUAAUUUUAAAGCAGACAGUUGUUCAUUGUGGUGCAAGUACAAUAGGUCGUUUCUAUUAUUUUUGGCCAAAGUGCAAUGUCGGUGUUGUGAAUAUUGUGUGUGGUUGGGAGUGCUGCUGUUGGUUGCUAGAGCAGAUGAUGUGUUCAUACAGUGAAAAUAGCCACAUUUUUAUCAAAAUCUUAAAUUUACAAUAGCUUCAUUUAUGAAAUCUGUUGCUUUUACAUAAAGGACUAAAGCACUCAAAGCUGUUGAAAGUUGAAUUGUAAAUCAAAGACUCUAUUUUGUGUACAGUAUCUAUAAUAUCAGUGUAUGGUACUAUUGACACCGUGUGGUAUAAUUGAGACUGCCCUGACCAUUCCUGAUCUGCCAUCUCACUUGUGUGACAAUAAACACACCAGAUUU
rnacentral:misc_RNA from 1 species